rnacentral:rRNA from 1 species
AGUGAACGCUGGCGGUAGGCCUAACACAUGCAAGUCGAACGGCAGCACAGUAAGAACUUGCUCUUACGGGUGGCGAGUGUCGGACGGGUGAGGAAUACAUCGGAAUCUACUUUUUCGUGGGGGAUAACGUAGGGAAACUUACUCUAAUACCGCAUACGACCUACGGGUGAAAGCAGGGGAUCUUCGGACCUUGCGCGAUUGAAUGAGCCGAUGUCGGAUUAGCUAGUUGGCGGGGUAAAGGCCCACCAAGGCGACGAUCCGUAGCUGGUCUGACAGGAUGAUCAGCCACACUGGAACGGAGACACGGUCCAGACUCCUGCGGGAGGCAGCAGUGGGGAAUAUUGGACAAGGGGGGCAAGCCUGAUCCAGCCAUACCGCGUGGGUGAAGAAGGCCUUCGGGUUGUAAAGCCCUUUUGUUGGGAAAGAAAAGCAGCAGGUUAAUACCCCGCUGUUCUGACGGUACCCAAAGAAUAAGCACCGGCUAACUUCGUG